GAUCCUGGCUCAGGAUGAACGCUGACAGAAUGCUUAACACAUGCAAGUCAACUUGAAUUUGGGUUUUUAACUUAGAUUUGGGUGGCGGACGGGUGAGUAACGUGUAAAGAGCUUGCCUCACAGCUAGGGACAACAUUUAGAAAUGAAUGCUAAUACCUAAUAUUAUGAUUUUAAGGCAUCUUAGAAUUAUGAAAGCUAUAUGCACUGUGAGAGAGCUUUGCGUCCCAUUAG
rnacentral:rRNA from 1 species